ACGGGUGAGUAACACGUGACUAACCUACCCUCGAGUGGGGAAUAACCUCGGGAAACCGGGGCUAACACCGCAUAAUAUCUACGGAUCAAAUGCGUAAGCAGCUUGAGGAGGGGGUCGCGGCUGAUUAGCUAGUUGGCGGGGUAAUGGCCCACCAAGGCAGUGAUCAGUAGCCGGCCUGAGAGGGCGCACGGCCACACUGGAACUGAAACACGGUCCAGACUCCUACGGGAGGCAGCAGUGGGGAAUUUUGCGCAAUGGGGGAAACCCUGACGCAGCAACGCCGCGUGGAGGAUGACGCCCCUUGGGGUGUAAACUCCUUUCGAUCGGGACGAUUAUGACGGUACCGGAAGAAGAAGCACCGGCUAACUCUGUGCCAGCAGCCGCGGUAAUACAGAGGGUGCAAGCGUUGUUCGGAAUUAUUGGGCGUAAAGGG
rnacentral:rRNA from 1 species